rnacentral:autocatalytically_spliced_intron from 1 species
GGGCUAGGGUGAACGGUAUGGAUAACAGAAGUGAAUGAUCGUAAGCAUCGUUAAAUCGAACAAGCCAAAGACACUGACAGGCUUGGACCAAAAGGUAUGUGGUAGGUUAUCAGCGUGAACGCAUCUGAUACGCAAACAUAAACACCACCGGUGUAUAGAUCAAUCCUAACCCGCUCGUUGUUUGAUAGGUGGAACACGGAAACCCCAUAUAUCUCUGGGUAAUUUCUUUACUCAGUAAGGUUGAUCAUGAGAAAGACUGAUGGAUAUGUGGGAUUGGGAGUGUGGAAAAAGUGAAUGCUCAUCUGUAAUGGAUGAGAUACAGGUUUAAACGUUAUCUGGCUCGAAAGAGAACUGACGUCCACUACGGUCAUCUUGAACAAGAUUGUUUGUAAAACCUUUUAAGUGAGGAAAGCAGAUGGUUACAGGUAAAAUUGUAAGUGCACCUUUCGGUACGGCAGAACACUGGAAUCAAAUUAACUGGUUUCAGUGUAAAAAAAAUACCAGAAGGCUACAAGCUCGUAUUGUUCAGGCAACAAAAGCUAGGAGAUGGAAUAAAGUGAAAACUUUACAACGCCUCCUCACACGUAGUUUUAGUGCUAAAGCGUUGGCAGUAAAACGCGUAACUUCAAAUAAAGGAAAAUGUACAGCUGGUGUUGACAACCAGUUGUGGCAGAGCCCUUCAGCAAAAUCUCAAGGAAUUGCAAACCUGAGGCAACGAGGAUAUCGCUCUCAACCUUUGAGACGAGUCUAUAUCCCCAAACCUACAGGCAGCAAGCGACCUCUUAGUAUUCCCACUAUGAAAGAUCGAGCGAUGCAGGCCUUAUAUCUUAUGGGACUUGAUCCUGUUGCAGAAACAAUAGGAGAUAGACACUCAUACGGAUUUAGGAAACAUCGCUCAGCUGCUGAUGCGAUAAGCCAGAUCCACAAAACUUUGGCGGGACGCGACAGAUCGCAAUGGAUCCUAGAGGCGGAUAUUAAGAAGUGUUUUGAUGAAAUAGACCAUUGCUGGUUAGAAAGCUCAAUUCCAAUAGAAAAGAAUAUUCUCAGCAAAUGGUUAAAAUCUGGGUUCAUAGAAAAACAAAUGUUCCGCUUCACAAUAGCAGGGACUCCACAAGGAGGAAUUAUCUCCCCUGUACUUGCUAACUUGACCCUUAAUGGUUUCGAAAAUGUUAUCAGUAAACAUUUCGGGAACAAGAAAACGCAAGAAAUAUGGUGUGCACGUGAUUCGCUACGCGGAUGACUUCAUAGUAACUGGAAAAUCAAAAGAAAUUCUUGAGACUAAAGUUAAAAGGCUAGUAGAGGAUUUCCUCAGCGACAGAGGGUUAACUCUAUCCACAGGAAAAACCAAGAUCACACACGUAGAACAGGGAUUUGAUUUUCUAGGUCAGACAGUACGAAAGGAAGAUAAUCAUCAAACCUUCAGCAGAAAGUACAAACCGACUUCUGAAGCGCAUCCGGUGCUUGAUUCGUAAGAACUGCGCAGCAACCCAAGAAAAAGUAAUAGAACUGCUCACACCUCAAAUUCGAGGGUGGGUCUAUUACCACAGGGGAAUAUGCGCAAGAAAAGCUUAUGAGAAAGUGGAUUCUGAGAUUUUUAAAGCCUUAUGGCAAUGGUCAAAACGCAGACACCCUAAUAAAGGCUUACGCUGGAUUAAGGGGAAAUACUUUAAAACAAAAGAAGCCAGAAGAUGGUGCUUUGCAGCGCUGACUAAGAAUAAAGGUACAGUUGAGUGGAAGGAACUCUUUCAAGCAACAAGCGUACCAAUUCGUCGCCACAAGAAAAUUCAAGCUGAGGCAAAUCCCUACGAUAAAGAAUGGUAUGCCUACUUUGAAAAACGUAGAUCAAAUAAUCCUUCUCUUUAUGAGGAUGAUAAGAUAUGAUUAAUGUUAAUCCUAGUAAGGAAUUUGAAAUGCCAGAAUAUUUGAAGGAAGCUGUUGCCGGUUCUCGAGAAAAGGACUUAAGAUGGCUCGAGCCGUAUGAAGGGAAACUUUCAAGUACGGUUCCUAGAGGAGAGUUUAGUGGAAAAUAUCUCAGUCCACUAAAC